rnacentral:misc_RNA from 1 species
UCAAACUUGGUCAUUUAGAGGAAGUAAAAGUCGUAACAAGGUCUCCGUUGGUGAACCAGCGGAGGGAUCAUUACCGAGUUUACAACUCCCAAACCCUUUGUGAACCUUACCUACGUUGCUUCGGCGAGUUGGCCCAGGCCGCCCGCCGAGGGAUACAAACUCUUGUUUUGUCAGUGGUAUUCUCUCUGAGUGGCACAAGCAAAUAAAUUAAAACUUUCAACAACGGAUCUCUUGGUUCUGGCAUCGAUGAAGAACGCAGC